CCUCCACAGGUCAAAAUUUCAAUUUAAGGCCGGGGGUGUUUUUGAAUAAUUGAAAUCUUUUGUGUGGUUUUUACUACACAUUUCCACAGUUGCCGACAGGGCUAGUUUGAAAACUAGUCAACCUAGGAAUUAUUUUUCUUUGGUGAAGUCAGCUGAAGUUCGCCACGGGGAUGAAAAGCCACGUGAAGUUGGCCUGUUUUCUGUUGGACCUUGUUUAGGGAGAAGCAGGUGUCGGUGAAAACAGACACCACAGUGUACCAAGCUGGACUGAGGCUAAUGUUACACACAGCAGAGAGAUGACUCCCAUUGAGAGCACACAAGAACCUGACCUCCCCUCCCAGGGAUCUGCAACAAUGCAGUGGAUCUCCUGUUUCUAGGAGAUAUCAGCAAGAUCAUCCUUGUGGACCACCACUAUACAAGAGUGAAGAACAUAAAUUGAAUAUGAGACUGGAAAGUUUACAAAUUCUGCAUCGACAUGAAGAGGUCAAAUUUAGGAAGCUCAAUGUAGCUGCUGAAUUUAGGGAGAAAAGUGCCAUUUGAAAUAUUGCCUUUGCCACCAAAUAGACCAGGACCACCCCUGGCUAUCCUGCUCCACACAUCAGUAGAAAGGAAUAGUUUAAUGUCAGCUCACAGACCAACUGCAGCACAAUGUAUCUGCUUAGCUGGGCCUACAAAGUAAAAAUCACCUUUGACCACACAGGAGUCUAGUUGCAACAGCAUUGUUAAUGUAACCAUUUUCUUUAUGGUAAUUAAAGUUGUUCAUUCACAAACGUUGAAGGUCCUGAACAACAAAAAAGAAAUAGUCACUGCAACAUUCUUAACAA